CUCGGAAGUCCCUGAACAUUACAUGAUUGACGGUGCUGUGGAGGACAUCGUUGGAGUGGAGGAGUUGGCAGAGGACGUCAAAAUACAAGAAAGCCUGAGGAGCAUUGUCAGCGACAGUGUUUCCAAAAAACAGGAGAAAGCAAAGGGCAGAGCACAACACCUUGGCACUGUGUUUAAACCUGGUGACCGAGUGUGGAGGCAGAACAUACGCAGUCAGCAGAGAAAAGGUGGGAAAUUGGAUGCUGGUUUUCUCGGACCCUAUACAGUCAUCAGUAUCCAAGGCAAAAAUGCAGAUAUUCAAGAUGAUAAUGGUGUGAUAUUCCGGAAGAUAAACACUGACCAUCUGAAAAUCUGCAUUAAAGAGAGUCCCCGACUGCCACAUUGUUUAAAAAAUCAAGGAAGCAAAAUAAAUUUUGCUCAAUCCCUGGCUGAUGCAGCACUACCGCCUUAUGAUCCAGCAUCACCCCCCUCUGCUCCAGCAUCACCCCCCUCUGCUCCAGCAUCACCCCUCUCUGCUCCAGCAUCACCUCCCUCUGCUCCAGCAUCACCUCCCUCUGCUCCAGCAUCACCUCCCUCUGCUCCAGCAUCAUCUCCCCCUGCUCCAGCAUCAUCUCCCCCUGCUCCAUCAUCUGCUACCCAGAGAAAAUCUCUAGCAGAGAAAUAUGUGCAUGAUGCUUUUACUGGAAAAAACGUCUUUGUCCUUCUGUCAAAAGUGAAUGCAUAUAAGUUGUUUUACUUUGACAUGAAUAAAAUUGGUCCUGACAUGGAACUGGAGAGUCGGGUAGGUACAAUGACUACAUUGUUUUCAAAUAUCACAGCUGUUACAGUAUUUAACUAAUCUUUUUUCUUGUAAUACAUUUGCAGUCUAUUAAUGCAUUUCUGGCCGUCAUCGUGAAGGAAUACAACAGCAAGAACACAGGACAGGCUGUGUUCAUAGAUUCAUUUGCAAUGACAGCAAUGUGGCAGGGAAAAAGUCCUAGAUUAAAAAAGAUGAACCCAAUGAAUUAUGAAAUAAUUCUGGGAAUCAACAAUCAACACCACCACUGGACUUUAGUGGUGAUCUACCCACAAGACAAAAAGUCUUUGUUCUUGAAUCCACUGGGGGAAUCAAAACAAGACAUCCAGAAAUGCUUGCAAAUCACAAGGGCAUUUAUGAGGAAGAAGGGGUGCAAUGUCUCACGUUGGACAUGUGACACAGUCAAGCAUCCAAAACAACAGGAUAGCUCAUCAUGUGGUGUAUUUUCACUGAAGUUUGCAGAAAAAAUCCUGUCAAAAGAGGUUGUGGAUUUUCCUGUUUCCAGAGAGGCGGUCCACAGCAUGAGGUUGGAAAUUGCUGUGAGACUAAUCCUUAACAGUGGUGAGGAUAACAUUAAUAUUCUUAUUUUGAGUGUUUAUGACAAUUGUUAUCAUGAUUACUAUUAUUUGUAUGUUUGGCUAAAACAUCUGUACUUAGCAAAACUUAAUACAUUAACAUGGACUCUGAAAACAUUUAUUUAAGGAAAUUGUUUGUCUACAAAUUAAUAAGUACAAUCAUUUCAUCUUCUAUAUUUUUUUCAUAAAUGACUGUGUUGGUGCUUAGCACAUCCUGUGUAAUAGUUUUAUACACACACAAACACACAUAUAUACGGUCACGAUUGUACAUGUAUAAUCGUGUGUGUGUGUUUUUAUACUUUUGUUGUUAACAGAGGACCUAAAAGACUUGUGUCACUUCUGUGGAGAGAUGGAAAGUGACACGGAUGUGAACUGGGUAGGAAAGUUUUUAGAAUUAUUCAAAGACUUAGUGUUAGUAAACUAAAUGAAGAGGACAAGUUUUAUCUAAUCUUAUCUUGCGUAAACAAGCUAUGAUAUGAUCCUCCAACAGUUGGAAUAUAAAGGAAUCUAAAAUGAUUGAUUAUAUAUUGUAAUUGUAAAGACAUAUUUUUCUAAAAAAAACCUGAUAUUUUUGGUUUCUUUCCUAGAUCCAGUGUGACGUGUGUCUGAGGUGGUUCCAUCAUGCAUGUGUGGGAAGCCCACCAACUGAAAAAACAUAUCACUGCUUUGCGUGUUUGCCUUAGUUGCCUUUGUUCCUGAGAUUGCUGUGGUGUGCUUGUUUAUGUAUGUUGUUUAAAGGUUAAUAAAUUACAUUUUGAAAACUGUUUGAUAUUUAUACUUACAAGACUUUGAUAUAAGGCAGCUAUGGAAAAAAGUUUAAAUCCCAAGGCCCCUCAUAACUUUGUCAAAUAAAGAGCAAAUGUUA